GACAAAUGCAAGUUUUACUCUUAGAUAACAAUGUAAGAUAAGAAAAAGAUGUCAAAUUGGAAGUGACCAAUGAGAUAAUUUUGCUUAUUUCGACCAUAUUUAGGAAGAAAAUUCUUGUCCAGAUAUUCUAGCCAACCAUGGAAUUAACUCUAGGAGUUUUUUUUGUGGGAUGUUGUCUCAAGUUUAGCCAACCUUGGCAAUGUUAUUUGGGGUAGCCAUAGGUGGUUCUCCUGGUCUUGUAAUGGUUUCGGCCUAGUCCUUCCAUUUUUCAUCUUUGUUCCUUUUGAAUCUAUUAAUGUUAUUUGGGGUGCUCUUUGUUGGACUGGUUUGGAAAAGGGUGUGAGCAUAAUUAAAAAUGUUUUUACUUCCUAGUUGGUUCAUUCUAAUUUUAUAAAAAAAAAUCAAUAAAUACUGAUAUGAAAUAUUUAUGUUAAUCACUAAAUAAAUAAACAUAACUUGCGUAUCUGUUUCAUUUUCCUAAGCACCUGUCUUUCCUCUAAUCUCCCUCGAGGGUAUGAAGCAGCACUCCAGAACCUUACACAAACGUAUCACUAAGUUGAACCUCUUCCAGUCCAAGCUUAAUCAGAGCCAUAAUAAUGACUCCAUAAACAGUGGUGGUAAAGGCAGCAAGUUUUUUAUUCAAUGCAACACUCAGAUAGCAGAGAAUGGACGAAACGGCAACGUCAAAGAGGCAGAAUCCAUAUUCCACAAGAUGCCCAUAAAGAACACUGCCUCUUGGACUGCCAUGCUCACUGCCUUUGCGCAAAAUGGCCAAAUAAAAAAUGCCCGCAGAUUGUUCGAUGAAAUGCCUCAACGAACCACUGUCUCAUAUAACGCCAUGAUCUCUGCUUAUAUCCGCAAUGGUUGCAAUGUAGGCAAAGCUUAUGAGCUUUUUUCAGUGUUGGCUGAACGCAACUUGGUGUCAUAUGCUGCCAUGAUCAUGGGUUUUGUUAAGGCAGGGAAGUUCCACAUGGCUGAGAAACUGUACCGUGAGACCCCAUAUGAGUUCCGGGACCCUGCUUGCUCAAAUGCAUUGAUAAAUGGGUAUUUGAAGAUGGGUGAAGUAAAUGAGGCGUUGCGGGUUUUUGAGAACAUGGGAGAGAGGGAUGUGGUGUCUUGGAGUGCCAUGGUUGAUGGUUUGUGCAGGGAUGGGAGGGUAGCUGCUGCUAGGGACCUGUUUGACAGGAUGCCUGACAGAAAUGUGGUUUCUUGGAGUGCGAUGAUAGAUGGGUAUAUGGGAGAAGGUUUCUUUCAAGAGGGGUUUUGUUUGUUUAUGGAUAUGAAGAGGGAAGGUCUGGUUGAAGUUAAUUCCACUACAAUGACUAUAAUGUUUAAAGCAUGUGGAAAUUGUGGCAGGAUGUCAGAGGGCAUGCAGAUACAUGGGUUGGUUUCACGCUUGGGAUUUGAAUUUGACAAUGUUCUGAGUAAUUCUGUUAUUACUAUGUAUUGUAUGCUUGGUUGCACAGACAUGGCAGAUAAAGUAUUUUGUACUGUGAGUGACAAGGACAUAGUUACAUGGAAUUCUUUAAUUUCCGGAUAUAUUCAUAACAAUGAAGUGGAAGCUGCUUAUAGGGUGUUUGGGAGGAUGCCUGUGAAAGAUGUGAUUUCUUGGACGGCCAUGAUUGCGGGGUUCACUAAGAGUGGAAGAGUUGAAAAUGCUAUAGAACUUUUUAAUAUGUUACCAGCAAAGGAUGAUUUUGUUUGGACAGCUAUUAUAUCAGGGUUUGUGAAUAAUAAGGAGUAUGAGGAAGCUUUGCAUUGGUAUGCUCGGAUGAUUUGGGAAGGAUGCAAGCCUAAUCCGUUAACUAUUAGCAGUGUUCUAGCAGCUUCAGCUGCUUUGGUGGCACUGAAUGAAGGGCUUCAAAUUCAUACUUAUAUUCUGAAAAUGAACCUAGAGUAUAAUUUAUCUAUACAGAACUCUCUUAUAUCAUUCUACUCUAAGUCUGGGAAUGUAGUUGAUGCCUACAGGAUUUUCUUAGAUGUCAUUGAACCAAAUGUUAUCUCUUAUAACUCAAUCAUCAGUGGGUUUGCACAAAAUGGCUUUGGUGACGAGGCUCUCGGUAUCUAUAAAAAGAUGCAGAGUGAAGGCCAUGAACCCAACCAUGUUACUUUCCUUGCUGUUCUCUCUGCCUGUACUCAUGCAGGACUAGUUGAUGAGGGGUGGAACAUAUUUAACACCAUGAAAUCACAUUAUGGAAUUGAGCCAGAAGCUGAUCAUUACGCUUGCAUGGUUGAUAUCUUUGGUCGUGCUGGUUUGCUAGAUGAAGCUAUUGAUUUAAUCCGUUCAAUGCCAUUUAAGCCCCAUUCUGGAGUUUGGGGGGCUAUUCUUGGUGCAAGCAAGACUCACCUACGUCUCGACCUUGCUAAGCUUGCAGCUCAACACAUUACUGACCUGGAGCCUAAAAAUGCAACUCCUUAUGUGGUAUUAUCUAACAUGUAUUCUGCUGCUGGGAAAAAGAUUGAUGGUGACUUAGUAAAAAUGGCCAAGAAUUUAAAAGGAAUAAAAAAAAGUCCGGGUUGUAGUUGGAUUACAAUGAAAGAUAAGGUUCAUCUGUUUCUUGCAGGGGAUCAAUCACAUGGUAGUAUUGAAGAGAUAAAAACCACAAUACUGACAAUGGAUAGGGAGAUGCAGUGGUUGUAUCAUUGUGGGUGCUGACUGACAGUCUUGUUUUCUUUCUCUUACAAACAUAACUUCUCAAUUGCCGGCUGCUGCGAUGUCAUCAUUGCCUAAGCUAGCAGGCUCCUUUUUCAACAAGAUAUUCUUAGAUACACCUGGUGUGCAACUUGUAAAAAUGGAUUAGGCUACAACCAUCAUACCGUAUGGGAUUCAUUAAGUGUGUGUUUGGAUUUAAGUUAAAAAUGUGGUGCACGUGGUUCAAUGCAAAUCCAACGGAUAAAAGUAAUUGAAAGUAAAAGCAAGGGCGGUGAUGCUUCUGCAAAUGUACAUUUGCAACCUUAUACCCAAACACACACUAAAUUGAAGCUGAGGAAAAGACAAUAACCAAUAAGGUCCUCAUGCCAGUGACCACAUGAUGAGAAACACCAAUACUGCAUUGGAACCAAGGUUAUUUCUUUUCUUCAAAACCUGUUUCCUUCGUGGUUGUUUUUUCAUGCAGGCUGGAUCAACGCUACAUCUUGCAUUUCCAACCCCAUGUCAAAGCUCUCUUCAGCCAUAGGCAGAUUAGAGAACUUUGAUACCAUAUCAGAAUUUGGAGCCAAAUUAACUUGAUGGGACCAAACGUCAUAGAGUUCAAAUCAUUAGAGAGGAUUCAUAUAGAAUGUCAUUGAUAUGUAUAGAAUAAGAUGGUAGAAUAAGUGGUGAACAUGUAUUUAUAGAAUGCGAGAACUAUGCAAUUGGACUCUAAGAUAACGAUGCUAACUAAACUAAUAGAACAUAUGGCACAAUACUGACAGAAAAAUAGGCAAGAAAGUGAAUUGAAGAAGAACGAUCUAGUAUAUGUAGAUUAUGUUUAAAUUUUACAAUAUUUUAAAUCAGAAUUUGACUUUUCUUAGGUGAGGAUGUAUAGCUUAAAGAAAAUGUUAAUUUCACAAUUUAAAUUUGAAUCUAACUCCAUCUUUAAAAGCUAAUUUUAUAGGGGAGCUUUUGGCCAUAUUAUUAAUAGAUAUGAGAUCUUCAUUCUUCAACACUAAUGUAUAUAGGAAAAAUGGUUUCUAAAACAUGUAGAAACGAGGUUGAUUACUUGU